UACGGAGGGUGCAAGCGUUGUUCGGAAUCAUUGGGCGUAAAGCGCGUGUAGGCGGCUAGGCAAGUCGGUUGUGAAAGCCCGGGGCCCAACCCCGGAAUUGCAUCUGAAACUGCCUGGCUAGAGUCCCGGAGAGGAAGGCAGAAUUCCCGGUGUAGGGGUGAAAUCCGUAGAUAUCGGGAGGAAUACCAGUGGCGAAGGCGGUUGCCUGGGGCUUUGCUGACGCUGAGGCGCGAAAGCGUGGGGAGCGAUCCGG
rnacentral:rRNA from 1 species